rfam:Nocardioides dokdonensis FR1436, complete genome.
GCACGCGGACAAGUCCGGAUGCGUCUACCCCGGUACCUGGUACGGCCGGAGAGA